AGUUCACGCUAGCGAACGAGGAUUAUCUGAACGAGAUUGUGGCCUGGAGCUUUCGAUGAAGAAAAGAAGAAGAGUGUCCCAAAAGAGUAAAGAGAGAGAGAAAUUGGACAUGGGCUUCUCUGGAGACAAUCGAAUAGGCUUUGUUUUGGCUUUGCUAUCAAGUGGGUUCAUUGGGGCAAGCUUCAUCAUCAAGAAGAAAGGUCUAAGAAGAGCUGCUGCAGCUUCUGGUGUCAGAGCUGGUGUUGGUGGGUAUUCCUAUCUCUUGGAGCCUCUGUGGUGGCUGGGCAUGAUUACAAUGAUUGUUGGAGAGGUUGCAAACUUUGUUGCAUAUGCAUUUGCCCCUGCAGUUCUUGUUACUCCUCUUGGUGCAUUAAGUAUUAUUGUCAGUGCUAUUUUGGCUCAUUUUAUCUUGAAGGAGAGGUUACACCAGCUUGGAAUUUUGGGCUGCGUGAUGUGUAUUGCAGGUUCUGUCGUAAUUGUUAUCCAUGCACCACAGGAGCAUCCCAUUACAUCUGUUCAGGAAAUAUGGAGUAUGGCAACUCAACCAGCUUUUCUGCUUUACAUGGCCUCUGUAACUGUGUUGGUUUUCAUUCUGGUCUUCCAUUUUGCACCACGAUGUGGGCAUACAAACGUGUUAAUUUUCACCGGAAUCUGUUCUUUGAUGGGUUCGCUCUCGGUUAUGAGUGUUAAAGCCCUUGGAACUUCAAUAAAGUUAACUUUUGAGGGAAAGAACCAGUUAUUCUAUCCAGAAACAUGGUUUUUCAUGUUGGUUGUGGCUACAUGUGUCAUCACUCAGAUGAAUUAUCUCAACAAGGCACUUGACACAUUUAACACUGCCAUUGUGUCCCCUAUCUAUUACGUGAUGUUCACUACACUUACAAUCCUAGCCAGUGUCAUUAUGUUUAAGGACUGGGACGACCAAAGUGGAGGAACCAUAUUAACAGAAAUAUGUGGCUUUAUUGUUGUGGUUUCUGGAACCAUUUUAUUGCAUGCAACCAAAGACUUUGAGAGAAGCUCAUCUUUUAGAGGUGGCUACACACCUGUAUCCCCUUCAUUGUCUAAUCGACUUUGCAGCGGAAAUGGGGAUUUACUGAAGUAUGAAGAGGAAGAUGAAACCUCUCCUGAGGAAAUUUGCUUAAGGAGUCAAUAACUGUACUAGAUAGGUCUGCUUCAGAUAAUGCAAUCCCAUUACUUCAAAUUAACGACAAGGCAGAACCGAAAUUUGAAGAAUUUUGAAAAGGAUGUCCAUCAGGUGACUCUGCACUUUCAGUUCUGGACAUAACCUCCCGUACAAUAAGGAAGACUUCCAGAGCUUGUUCAGGUGGGUUGUAUAGUUGCUCUUGAGCAUCAUGGGGAUUUCAUUGUUUUGGUGUAUGGUUUGGAGGAAUGAUUAACAAAUGACAGUAAAGUCUCUGAGGUGCAUACCUGUACAGUUUGUCCAAGGUUGCUGGUUUUUCACGUGUGGUUUGUUCACUUGUCAAAUAAGGAAAUGGCUUUAGGUAAGCAAGAUUGAAUCCCUCUGAAGACUCAAGAACCCGAAUUCCAGCAAGGGAUAUAAGGAUGGGAAGCCCAAAAAGCAUUGGAAAACUUGGGAAAACAUGUGUAAACCGGAAGGGGAAUGUGGUAUUGGGGUUCGGGAUUUACAUGAAACUUAGAAAGCACUACAUAUGAAAUUUGCGUGGAGAUUAUUAACAGGAAAUUCUCUGUGGGCUAUUUUUUUAAGACAAAAUAUGUGAAAAAUGUUCAUGUAUCCUUACUAAAUCCGAACAAAGGAAGUUAGUUCUGGAAGUUGGUGAUAAGGAGUGUUCCAUUCAUAUUAGAAAAUUCAAAGUGAAGACUGAGAAAGGGGUUGAUCUCUUUUUGGUUUGAUAAGUGGAUGGGAGUAGAGACACUUGGGGAGAGGUUGCCAAUCUCUAGGUGUCCAGGCCUAAAGGUAAAAGAGUGUAAGUUGAAUGGGGUCUGGAACAUGGAGCUCCUUAUAAGUCUGGUUGGAGUUCAAAAAGUUGGGGAAAAUUUUCAAUUCUUGAGUCACCAAAAAGAGGGUGAGGACCUGCUUGUGUGGAUGGCUAAGGAAGAAGGGGUUUUUACAACAAAAAGUGCGUGAGAGGUGGUGAGAAUAAAAUCUCCUAAGUUUAACUGGGCUUAGUGGAUUUGGCAUCCAAGUCUCGCCAAAACUUUUGCUGUAACUAUAUGGAGAAGUGUUAACAAUGCUUUUAAGUGUGGAUGAUCAUGUUCGUCGAACAGGCAUACCUUUGGUCUAAAAGUGUAAUUGUUGUGAAAAAGGUGGAUAUGAGGAUAUUAAUCAUGUGUUGGCUACGGGUGAGGUGGCCUCUUCUAUUUGGGAGAGAUGCGCAAAACAAGUUGGUAUGCCUUGGAGACAGUUUCAAAGUUGGUAGGAAGUAGUGCAAGCGUGGUUUAGUAAAGCUUCUAAAGCUACUACGAAGGGAUAGUUACUCGAGAAAAUCCCCUCUAUAGUCACUUGGCAGCUAUGGCUUAGAAGAUGCAGCGUGCGUAUGGAAGGAAGAAAUAUAAGUACAGAGGAAUUAUGGAGGAAGAUAAAAUACUGGGUUGUGAAAUUAAGUGAAAAAAUCAAAGUUGUAAAGCCAUUGAGUGCAAGAGAUGAGAAAAUGUUAGCGGACUUGAAUGUUCCAUAUAAAGCCCCAAAGCUAAAACCUUUUAGGUUGGUCACUUGGCAAAGACCAAGUAUGGGUUGGUAUAAGUUAAAUGUAAAUGGGAGUAGCCAAGGUAACCCGGGUAGGUCAGGAGUCGGAGGGGUGAUCAGAGAUGUUGCGGGGAGAAUGUUUUCAGCUUUUGCAAUUGAUGUUGGGCAAGGUACUAACACAGUUGCAGAGUUUCUUGCACUUCUACACGGUCUCAGACUCAUAAGGCAUAAACAGAUUUCUAGAGUGGAGAUAGAGAUGGACUCUCAAGUGGUGAUAAGCUGGAUCACCUCAU